GACGUAGGGGACGAGCGUUGUCCGGAUUCAUUGGGCGUAAAGCGCGCGUAGGCGGUUACGCAAGUCGGUUGUGAAAAUCCGGGGCUCAACCCCGGACCUGCAUCCGAUACUGCGUGGCUCGAGUACUGGAGAGGAGACUGGAAUUUACGGUGUAGCAGUGAAAUGCGUAGAUAUCGUAAGGAAGACCAGUGGCGAAGGCGAGUCUCUGGACAGUUACUGACGCUGAGGCACGAAGGCCAGGGGAGCAAACGGG
rnacentral:rRNA from 1 species